rnacentral:lncRNA from 1 species
UUCUGUCAGGCGGUACAUAAUGUUUACUUCUCUCUGCUGUGUCAGAAGCCACUGAUGUCCACGGCCCUGAUACAUAAACUCAUGAAAGGUGCAAACUUGAUGCUCUGUUUCUAGCAUUUUUUCAUCAUUCAUCAGCUGGGCUAUUUCUACAAAGAAGAAAUUUUCUGUCAUGAACUAUUCGAUACCUAGUGAAUGAGUUUAUAUGGGAAAGGCUAGAUAAAUGUUUGGUUCUUUCACUUCAUUUACUAGUUUUCAAAAUAUUGUGUUGAUUUCUGUGAUGAGUUUUUAAAACACCGUCAUGUACUCAAGGAUUGAAAUCCCUUUUCUUUAAUCCAUUGCUCUUAUUGUCACCGUUGCUGCUCGUCUGUCCCUUCUGUGGCUAACAAGAGCCUAUUCUGGGUGAUUACUGAGUCUUUUCUGACAUGACCCUGCAGUUUUGGUAGCGUCCUUGCUUUCAGAUAUGAGCAAUCUUUACCAACGCAUCUAGUACACCUGCUGACCCAGGUCUGGGGUCAGCCAUUCCUCAAGGAGCCCUGGUCCCUCUUGCUGGGAAAUGUGGAGAUUGCAAUCUGCACGCUUAGCAGAGUUUGAACAAGAAAAUGGAAGUUGCAUGCAGAGACCAAGCCUGAGUGGUCUCGGAGGCCCACAUCACAUGUGGGAGGCCUGAGUCACGUGUGUCCCGGCUUGCGAAAAUGUUCCCACAGAAUGAUUUUGUUUUCUUUUUGCUGGGGGGGCCCCUGAGCUUCACCCAUUCAGGACAAGUUUUUACAUUCAUUUCUUGGCUCACGAUUCCCUGCACCACAUUAACAGUGCAAAUUUGGAAUUCUUACAUGCAUGUGGUACAGCUUGAGGUUUUGAUUUCUCAUGGGAAAACUUCUUCCCGUUCAGAGCCCCAGGCAGAUGGCAGUCCUGCGAGGCACAUCCGGGCCGGGCAGUUGGAAUUCCUCUAACCUCCUUUUCCACGGGGCGGGACGGUCCCCUACGGCUUUUCUUCAAAACGAGGACGCUCUAGCAAUGGUAGCCAUUAGCUGGAACCGAGCCACAGGGCUGCAUUUAACCAGUGCGCCCCUUCUUCCUCCCCCCGGACGCCCACACAUUUCUCCAGCUGGCACUUUGUUUUUGCAGCUUUACAGAGAUAACUGACCUACAAAUAAUCACACGUUUAAAGUGUGCGGUUUGGUGAGUUUGGAUAUAUUUAUACAUCUGUGACACAAUUG